rnacentral:rRNA from 1 species
AUGAACGCUAGCGACAGGCCAACACAUGCAAGUCAGGGGCAGCACAAGGAGCAAUCUGAGGUGGCGACCGGCGCACGGGUGAGUAACACGUAUGCAACCUGCCUGUAAGCGGGGAAUAACCCGUUGAAAGACGGACUAAUACCGCAUAAUACUAAAUUACUGCAUGGUAAUUUAUUUAAACAUUUAUGGCUUACAGAUGGGCAUGCGCAUGAUUAGCUAGUUGGAGAGGUAACGGCUCCCCAAGGCAACGAUCAUUAGGGGUUCUGAGAGGAAGGUCCCCCACACUGGUACUGAGACACGGACCAGACUCCUACGGGAGGCAGCAGUGAGGAAUAUUGGUCAAUGGACGAGAGUCUGAACCAGCCAAGUCGCGUGCAGGAAGAAUGUCCCUAUGGAUUGUAAACUGCUUUUGCAGGGGAAUAAAGUGCAUCACGUGUGAUGUUUUGUAUGUACUCUGCGAAUAAGGAUCGGCUAACUCCGUGCCAGCCGCCGC